rnacentral:lncRNA from 1 species
GAAUCCGAUGUGAGGCAAAAUCCAGGUCUUCUAUUGCUUUCCUUGAUUCUGAGUUGAAUGCCGGUAGGUCACAGUUAUUACAUUAACACCUAGCGGGGAAAGUCUUGUUGGGAGUGGUGGAAUUGCUAGUUUGCGGGGUCAGUCUCAUCGUAACAAGGUUGAUUCUCUUGUUAUGGACGCUAUAUCCUAUUUUCGAUAUAAGUAAGUAAGACACUGUAGUUCGGGUCUUACCUGUAGUGGUGGCAUUGCCUAUUGCGUGUUUCAGUAUUACUAGCCCAAAUUUCAU